GACGAACGCUGGCGGCGUGCUUAACACAUGCAAGUCGAACGCUGAAGCUUGGUGCUUGCACUGGGUGGAUGUGUGGCGAACGGGUGAGUAAUACGUGAGUAACCUGCGCUUGACUCUGGGAUAAACCUGGGAAACUGGGUCUAAUACUGUAUAUGACAUGACACUGCAUGGUGUUGUGUGGAAAGGGUUUUACUGGUUUUGGAUGGGCUCACGGCAUAUCAUCUUGUUGGUGGGGUAAUGGCCUACCAAGGCGACGACGUGUAGCCGGCCUGAGAGGGUGACAGGCCACACUGGCAUUGAGAAACGGCCAAGAGUCAUACGGGAGGAAGCAGUGGGGAAUAGUGCACACUGGGCGGAAGCAUGAUGCAGCGACGCCGCGUGAGGGAUGACGGCCUUCGGGUUGUAACGCUCUUUCAGCACGGAAGAAGCGAGAGUGACGGUACGUGAAGAAGAAGCGACGGCUAACUACGUG
rnacentral:rRNA from 1 species